UGACGACCGUUCAAAAACCGUAAUUACAUUUCAGAGAUCGUUAUGCAAAUAUUAUUCUGGAGUCUAUGAAAUGAAAUUGAAAAUGUUUUCAUCGUAUGGUAAUUAACUUUAAUAUUUAAUAAAAGUAAAAGUGUGUAAAACACGUCGACAAAACACAGGCCAAUAUGGCGCCAGCUUGACAUUAUCGUCAUGUGAUCAGAAAUAAAUGUAUUGUCAUCUGAAUGCAAUCAAGAUACAUAUAUAGACAAGAUGGAAAAAACGAAAUGCAAUAUUCAGCUUUGAAAUAUUACUGCAUCUUUAAAAGUUCAAUUGUUACAUAUUGGUGAUUAAGUUGAUUAUAUGUGUAACAGUUAACAAUUGACUAUUUUUUUCGCAGAAACAACAACUGUCGUUACGUCUUCCACCACAAAAACCACAACAAAAGUACAUGAAACCUCUCAAACAAAACACAUAUACGAAUCCACCACGAUAAAUGAUGACGUUUCCACCACUUCGCGUAAGAUUCGACAAACAACACAUAAUGCCGAUCCAUCAAACAGGACAUCUGGAACUACACAAAACAUCAGGAAUGUACAUGAUGACCCGCAUAAAGAGAAAGCUGGAACUGACCUUUCAUCAAAAGCCUGGAUAGCGGGUCCUGUGAUCGGAGGAGUGAUACUCGUCAUGGUGAUAGGCAUACUUUUAUAUCGUCGACGGAAAAAUAGGAAUGACGAUACAAACUACAAAGUAACGUACGUGGCGUCGGCAUCAUAGCUUGAACGAUCAGUCCGGAUUCGAAACAGACAUCAACUGAUAGUCAUACAACUCUAACGUAAUCGGCAAAAUACUCAUUUGAUCAACGGCAGCCUAAUUCAUCACUCUAUUUUGCUUAUAAUUGAUUAAUUAUGUCAUAUACUUAGUAUUUCAAAAGCUGUAUAUACAAUUGGUAUGGUUCAUGUGAAAUUGAUAUGGAUAUGAAACAUGUUUUAAAGUUGAUAUAAUAUGUAAAGAUAUUCAUAAUACUACAUCAAGUGUUGAUUUAUGAUCUUUGCUUGUUAUAAACCACCCAAGAUUCUUAUCUUCGCCUGAGGCCAAUUAUCACAUUUGACAACUGGUACUAUGAUAUGAAUGUAUUUUGUAUGAUACUGAUUGGUACUAUUUUCAAAUUAACAAAAUAGUAUUUUGUUAUAAAGUUUUCAUUGAGUACAUUAUAGAAAUAUGUAAGGCAUAUGAUAGAGCAUAUUAGUACAAACAAGGUUUAUCUCCGACUUUUAUUUGAUAACAAACAUGCAUCGUCAGUAGUGACCACUUAAAACGUUUAAGAGGUUACUCACCACUAAAGUCAAACACUGAAAGUACCUCGAUUAUCGAGAAAAGUUUGUUCAAUAGCAUACGGGAAAUCACAAUAACAUCCGCGAUAUAUAUUUGACCCUAUACUAACAUAUAUAUUGUAUAUUACCCUUACACGCAAUAGUACAUGUAAAAUGUUCAGAAAGCAUCUCAGGCUCAAGUCAAAAUUCAUUUUUGUUACGCUUGUAUAUGUACUUUAAUCAUGUAAUCGGCCUGUUGUAUUAUCAAGUGGGCCAUGUAAUUUUUUGUAUAUUGCUCUAGUUUGAUACACGCUUUGACGAGUGUGGCGUUAUAUCAUUACUAUGACAUUAUACCAGGAAUUAACAAUAUCAAUUAAUUGGAUAUCUCUGCUUUAAUUAGUUUUUUUUUUCAUUUUGAUAUUAAAACCGAACAAGUUUUCUGAGGUAUGAAUAGAUAGACCUAUACAUUUUGCUUUUCCUUUUGUGAUAUUGAAAGAGACUCGAAAUCUGUCUCGAAGUUUGAACAUUUCUCACUAAGACUCGGUUUAUAAAAUCUGUAUGAUAAUUCAUUGUAUAUCCUCUAUAUUUUAUACAUUCAUAUUAUAUGCAUUAUAAAAAAACUUGAUUAUAUAUGGAACAGUGUACUCAUGACAAUAAAAUGUUCAUUUCAUCAAUAUAUAUAUGUAAUACAUCAUCUUAGGAUAAAAUGUAUCUAUUAACAUUAACAUAUAUUGAUGUUUUAACGAAUUAAAUGUACUUUAAACAUAAGUACGUAUUUUCGGUGAUUUAUUUUUCAAUUUAUGAAGCGUUGUGAUGAAUGGCACUGACACAAUUUGAAAUGCAACCGUUAUAUCAUUAUGUAUCAUUACACAGACUGGUAAUUAAAUUAAUCAGUACAAUAAUAUUUUGUCUUGACUGGAUUUCGUAUGUACAGUUUGGUAUGCCAUUAAAAUGCUAGUUUUUAUGGUAUGUUUGGUAUGGUUUAAUAAAACAAUAGACUAUUAUGAUAAAUACUACCAGUGUUAUAUCAAAAUACAGUAUGAAUCAAGA